AAAAUCCUUACAUGCAAAUGCCAUCAAAAGGACUUUUCUAAGGCUUAUAAUGAGGCUGGGCUAACAAGAAAAAUUGGUUUUUCUGGAAUGCAAAAUCCUUGAGUUAAGAGAGCUACCAUAGUAUUCAACAUUUAAGUACAACUCUCUUCCUUACCAAUCUCACUUAUUCCCAACUAUUUCCCUUUUCUUUUGCAUUGAGCCCAUCUUCAUGCUUUUCUUCUUUUAUUUUCUUUUUCUCAUGUAUUUUUCUUUCACAACUUUUGAGCUCAAUGCUUUUCAAUUUUUCUUUUCAAUAUCCCCCAUGCAACCCCAAACUUGAACCUUUUCAUCACAUACAAUUAAGCUCAUCCCAACUCAAGGUAAAGAAUNUCAAGACAAGGGUUCACAUCCUGUUUAAGGCUAAGGUUCAAAAAGGGUAUAAUAUUUUCAAACACUUUGG
rnacentral:lncRNA from 1 species